GAUGAACGCUGGCGGCGUGCAUAACACAUGCAAGUCGAACGAUGAAACUUAACUGAUUUCUUCGGAAUGAUUUUAAGUGGAUUAGUGGCGGACGGGUGAGUAACGCGUGAGUAACCUGCCAUGUAGAAGGGGAUAGCCUUUGGAAACGAAGGAUAAUACCCUAUGAUAUGAUGAUAUCUCAUGAUAUUAUCAUCAGGGAUUUAUCGCUCUAAGAUGGACUUGAGUCUGAGUAGUUGGUUGGUGAGGUAAAAGCUGGCUAAGGCAGCGAUCAGUAGACGGCGUGAGAGCGGGCACGGCCGGAUUGGGACGGAGACACGGCCCAGACGGCUGCGGGAAGUAGCAGUGGUGAAAUUAGCGCAAUGGGGGAAACGCAGAUGCAGCGAGGCCGCGAGAUUGAGAAGGCCUUUGUGUUGUAAAAUUCUUUUGGAUGAGAAGAAAAUGACAGUACCAGACGAAUAAGGACCGGCUAAUUACGUG
rnacentral:rRNA from 1 species